rnacentral:lncRNA from 1 species
GGGAAUCCCGCCUCCGCCGCGCGCCCGGUCCACUAUAAUAAGCUGUCACGCGCUACGAAAGCGGCAGCUGAGCGAUGGCCUGACGAGAAUUUUUAUAGCAGCUCAGUCUCUGUUACCUGUGGCUGCAUUUGGAAGACAAGCAUGUGCUGAGUAGUUCAUCCUUAACGGGAGAAGAGACUCCUUUAGACGUCGUGAGGGACAGCCUGUCUUUGGUUCUCUGCUUGACCGCUGAUCCAGCAUGAAGGGUCCCAGUAUUACUCUAUCUGUCUCCAUGAUAACAGGACCCCCCUUCUUACUGCACUAUGAGAAUCAGCAACUCACCUGAACAUUACCUGUGAUGUGUAAAGACUGCGAAAGGAGUGAAAUAAAAAUGAUCUGCCU